rnacentral:rRNA from 1 species
GUAGUCUCUUCGUCUUGACCUGCGGUAGGUGCAUUA